AAUCAUUUUAAAUACCGAUAUUUUAUUAAAACUAAAUGCGAUAUCAUAUCUGUGUUGCAUGUUGUUUUAUGUGAAAUUCAGUGCGCUAUGCUUUAUAUCCUUGUUCAUAAGCACGAUUCAAGGCUUCGGCACCACGCGAGACCAGAUGAGCCCGCGAGCAAACACUCUUAGUGACGAUCAGGAUGACAUACAGAAGCAGUUAGACAACGAAGCAAGAGACAGGCUUCAGUAUGCCACACCAAAAACUAUAUGGGUUCUUAAUUUUCCCACCUAUAUGAUGAAAAUGCCACACAGAAACAAACGGAUACCUUGGAACUC